ACUUGCUCUGCCCGCUCAAACAGUUGCAGGAUGUCGAUGACAGACUUGCUGAACGCUGAGGACAUCAAGAAGGCGGUGGGAGCCUUUAGCGCUACCGACUCCUUCGACCACAAAAAGUUCUUCCAAAUGGUCGGCCUGAAGAAAAAGAGUGCGGACGAUGUGAAGAAGGUGUUUCACAUCCUGGACAAGGACAAAAGUGGCUUCAUCGAGGAGGAUGAGCUGGGAUUCAUCCUAAAAGGCUUCUCCCCAGAUGCCAGAGACCUGUCUGCUAAAGAAACCAAGAUGCUGAUGGCUGCUGGAGACAAAGAUGGGGAUGGCAAAAUUGGGGUUGACGGUGGGUAGCCAUGACCUGGGGUCUGGGCAUAUUGUGGAUCUUGGGGUGUUGGAUGCGAAAAGUUUGAAGCUAUGUCUGUCACAAGGAAGGGAUGAUACGGGGGUCCCUCACUCCCCCAGAUUAGAAGAUAAAAAGCAGUCCAUUAGGUCUGAGAGCUCUGCCACAUACUCCAGACAAAGGAAAACUGGUGUAUUUU
rnacentral:sRNA from 1 species